rnacentral:rRNA from 1 species
CCUACGGGCGGCAGCAGUGGGGAAUAUUGGACAAUGGGCGAAAGCCUGAUCCAGCCAUGCCGCGUGUGUGAAGAAGGCCUUCGGGUUGUAAAGCACUUUCAGUGGGGAAGAAAGCCUUGGGGCUAAUACCCUCGAGGAAGGACAUCACCCACAGAAGAAGCACCGGCUAACUCCGUGCCAGCAGCCGCGGUAAUACGGAGGGUGCGAGCGUUAAUCGGAAUUACUGGGCGUAAAGCGCGCGUAGGCGGUCUGUUAAGCCGGUUGUGAAAGCCCCGGGCUCAACCUGGGAACGGCAUCCGGAACUGUCAGGCUAGAGUGCAGGAGAGGAAGGUAGAAUUCCCGGUGUAGCGGUGAAAUGCGUAGAGAUCGGGAGGAAUACCAGUGGCGAAGGCGGCCUUCUGGACUGACACUGACGCUGAGGUGCGAAAGCGUGGGUAGCAAACAGGAUUAGAUACCCUAGUAGUC